AUGGGAUAUACUAUCUGGAAUGCUGGACACCUGGAUAAUAGAUCCCACCUGUGUAACUCAGCUUGAAGCCCAUAUUUAAAGCAGGAGGCUCCCAAGUAAUUUUCACGAACCCGCUGGAGAUUGUAAAGAUUCACUUACAGGUCGCAGGAGAGAUUGCGACGGGGCCAGUGCCCUUACAGUGCUGCACGAUUUGGGAUUAUUUGGUCUCUAUAAAGUAAGUGUGAUCCAAGAUUGAUUUGACACUUUUCCCUGAAAGGACCUCAACUGGAAUCAUGUUAUUUUCUCAUUGAAGGGUGCCAAAGUCUGCUUUCUCCGUGACAUCCCAUUCUUCACCAUCUACGUUCCUGUUUAUGCGCACUCCAAAACCAUGUUGGCAGAUGAGCAUAGGCACAUUAGCGCACUUCAGCUUCUGACAGCUGGCGCUGUUGCAGCAAACUGGAAGCCGGCGCUGAGCCUUCUCCAAAGACCAGAAUCUCUGACCUUCCUCCAGCCAAUCCAGACCAUAUUGGUGGUUAGAGACUGGCAACCGCAACAUUUGCUGAAAUAGAGAACAAGUUUGGCCUUUACCUGCCUAAGUUUAGGUCUCCCGGUAUGGAAACAGCACAGCCCAAGCCUGUAUAACGCGUCAUCAAUGGGUGCAAUCUGAGCAAUAUUUCAAGAAGCAACACUAAGGUAUAUGUCUGGUCAAUGCAUGUGGGUUUAAGGGAACCGCUUGUCCAGGUCACACCUUGUUUCAGUAUAGUCAUUUGUUGAUGCACAAAAAAUCUUGUUUGCACAAAAGAGAUUGAAGCUUCAUUUCAGCAGCCUUAUUUCAGCAAAAGGAAUGAGGAUAAUAAUAUCACGUGGCUCUCAGAGCCCUCUGAUUGGCUAGUUUGGCCGAGGCACAGUAUCUAUACACCCCAUGUACAAUGUGUUCUAUUUUCCUUCAGAGGAAGGCCUUGUUUCUCAUAAAUGUUACUUUACUCAGCUUUGUUCUCCAUUACUGUACAUAUUGUACAUCUGUACAGAGACAUCAUGGCACAUACUCUGUUACUCUGUCUAUAAGGAGUGGCAGCAAAUGUACAGGAAACCUUGAAAGUGUUUUAUUACAAACAAGGGGGCAAUAUAUUGCAUUCAAUUCUAUUUCAGUUCACAUAUUGUUUUCUCAUAUUGACAUAUUUUAUGGAAAUACGCCGUCAAAGUCUGAUUUGUCAUCAGAGCUUGUGCAGAGUCUUGUGCAUUUAUUUUCCAUACUGAUAGAAGUCCUGCAGCCCACUUAAAUGGAACAUAAAUCCUCCACCAACCCCUUUCCUUUGCAUUCUCUUAGUGCUCCAAAGUAAACAGCCUAGUCUUAAAGUGGACCUGCCACCCAGACAUAAAAAUCUUCCUUUUUAAAUUAAACAUGAAAUCCAAAUUCUUUUUUUUAUUAAAGGAUUCAUAGCUGUUGUAAAUGAAAUUAUAAAUCUCAACUGUCAAUCAAAUAUUGCCUGCCCCUCCUCUAUGCCUCUAUAUCAGCUGUCAAUCAAAUUUUGCCUGCCCCUCCAAAAUGCCUUAGGCAAGAUUUUGAGAUGAUGCAAGGCUUGCUUUCAUAACUGUGUCCAUCUUGAUUGGAGCUUUGUUUUGAAUCUCUAAUAAAGUGCGGUGUACAUAAGAAUUUCCCUUACUGAAAACCAGGGGCGUAACUACAGAAGAAACAGACCCUGCUGCUGUACAGGGGACCAGGAGGU